rnacentral:pre_miRNA from 1 species
AAUAAUCCUAUUUUUCGUUUUUCCGUGUCCAACGUUUGAUCAUUCAUCUUAUUUAAAAAUUUUUUGCGAUUAAUAUUUUUAUUAUUACUAGAUGAUAAAAUAUGAAUAGUACUUUAUAUAUGACUAAUUUUUUUAAAGUUUUUUACAAAUUUUUCAAAUAAGAUGAAUGGUCAAAUGUUGAACACGGAAAG